GGAAGGGAUGUGUUUAUUAGAUAAAAAACCAAUGCCCUUCGGGGCUUUUUGGUGAUUCAUGAUAACUUUACGGAUCGCAUAGCCUUGCGCUGGCGACGGUUCAUUCAAAUUUCUGCCCUAUCAACUUUCGAUGGUAAGGUUUGGCUUACCAUGGUUUCAACGGGUAACGGGGAAUUAGGGUUCGAUUCCGGAGAGCCAGCCUGAGAAACGGCUACCACAUCCAAUUAAGGCAGCAGGCGCGCAAAUUACCCAAUCCCGACACGGGGAGGUAGUGACAAUAAAUACAAAUACAGGGCUCUUUUGGGUCUUGUAAUUGGAAUGAGUACAAUUUAAACAGCUUAACGAGGAACAAUUGGAGGGCAAGUCUGGUGCCAGCAGCCGCGGUAAUUCCAGCUCCAAUAGCGUAUAUUAAAGUUGUUGCAGUUAAAAAGCUCGUAGUUGAAACUUGGGCCUGGCUGGCGGGUCCGCCUCACCGCGUGCACUCGUCCGGCCGGGCCUUCCUUCUGAAGAACCUCAUGCCCUUCACUGGGCGUGCUGGGGAAUCAGGACUUUUAC
rnacentral:rRNA from 1 species